GACGAAGGAUGCAAGCGUUAUCCGGAUUCAUUGGGUUUAAAGGGUGCGUAGGCGGACUUGUAAGUCAGUGGUGAAAUCUCUUCGCUUAACGAAGAAACUGCCAUUGAUACUGCAGGUCUAGAGUAUAGAUGACGUUGGCGGAAUAUGACAUGUAGUGGUGAAAUACUUAGAUAUGUCAUAGAACACCGAUUGCGAAGGCAGCUAACGAAAACUAUAACUGACGCUGAGGCACGAAAAGUGCGGGGAUCAAACAGG
rnacentral:rRNA from 1 species